CGAUGGCAGAUGAUCGCUGGUAAGCGGCAACGCUUGCUGGAGGAAAGUCCGAACACCAUACGGCGACAUGCCGCGUAAAAGACGCGGGCGCCGCGGUUGUAAAAUUGCGGUGACGGAGAGUGUCACAGAAAAGACACCGCCGGUUCUUUGGCAACAAAGGCACAGGCAAGGGUGAAAAGGCGAGGUAAGAGCUCACCGCUCGCGGAGCAAUUCGCGAGGCAGGAAGAACCCCAUGUGGUGCAAGACAAAACAGAGGAAGGGCAGCCGGUCCGCUAAAAAUCCUCGGGUAUCGUCGCAUCACGAUGCUGUAGCGGCGGUCUAUGACCGCCGAAACUUCAUCGGACUCUCGGAGAAAUCCGGGUGAGAUAAAUGAUCAUCCGCGUGAGCAAUCACGCCGACAGAAUUCGGCUUACCGCCAUCGAAAU
rnacentral:RNase_P_RNA from 1 species